CACGUAGGGUGCGAGCGUUGUCCGGAAUCAUUGGGCGUAAAGCGCACGUAGGCGGUCUGUUAUGUCGGAUGUGAAAGCCCUCGGCUCAACUGAGGAAGUGCAUCCGAAACUGGCAGGCUAGAGUACUAAAGAGGGUCGCGGAAUUCCCGGUGUAGAGGUGAAAUUCGUAGAUAUCGGGAGGAACACCGGUGGCGAAGGCGGCGACCUGGGUAGAUACUGACGCUGAGGUGCGAAAGCGUGGGGAGCAAACAGG
rnacentral:rRNA from 1 species